rnacentral:misc_RNA from 1 species
UGGGCGCCGCGAGGCGUCCA